UCGGGAAUAUUGCGCAAUGGAGGAAACUCUGACGCAGUGACGCCGCGUAUAGGAAGAAGGUUUUCGGAUUGUAAACUAUUGUCGUUAGGGAAGAAAAAGGACAGUACCUAAGGAGGAAGCUCCGGCUAACUACGUGCCAGCAGCCGCGGUAAUACGUAGGGAGCGAGCGUUAUCCGGAUUUAUUGGGUGUAAAGGGUGCGUAGACGGGCUUGUAAGUUAGUUGUGAAAUCCCUCGGCUCAACUGAGGAACUGCAACUAAAACUGUAAGUCUUGAGUGCAGGAGAGGUAAGUGGAAUUCCUAGUGUAGCGGUGAAAUGCGUAGAUAUUAGGAGGAACACCAGUGGCGAAGGCGACUUACUGGACUGUAACUGACGUUGAGGCACGAAAGUGUGGGGAGCAAACA
rnacentral:rRNA from 1 species